rnacentral:rRNA from 1 species
GAUGAACGCUGGCGGCGUGCCUAAUACAUGCAAGUCGAGCGAACAGACGAGGAGCUUGCUCCUCUGACGUUAGCGGCGGACGGGUGAGUAACACGUGGAUAACCUACCUAUAAGACUGGGAUAACUUCGGGAAACCGGAGCUAAUACCGGAUAAUAUAUUGAACCGCAUGGUUCAAUAGUGAAAGACGGUUUUGCUGUCACUUAUAGAUGGAUCCGCGCCGCAUUAGCUAGUUGGUAAGGUAACGGCUUACCAAGGCAACGAUGCGUAGCCGACCUGAGAGGGUGAUCAGCCACACUGGAACUGAGACACGGUCCAGACUCCUACGGGAGGCAGCAGUAGGGAAUCUUCCGCAAUGGGCGAAAGCCUGACGGAGCAACGCCGCGUGAGCGAUGAAGGUCUUCGGAUCGUAAAACUCUGUUAUUAGGGAAGAACAAAUGUGUAAGUAACUAUGCACGUCUUGACGGUACCUAAUCAGAAAGCCACGGCUAACUACGUG